AACGCGAAGAACCUUACCAGGGCUUGAAAGUUAGUGAAUGAUUUAGAAAUAGGUCAGCAAGCAAUUGCACGAAACUAGGUGCUGCAUGGCCGUCGUCAGCUCGUGCCGUGAGGUGUUGGGUUAAGUCCCGCAACGAGCGCAACCCCUAUCAUUAGUUGCCAACAGGUUAUGCUGGGGACUCUAAUGAGACUGCCCGCGUAAGCGGUGAGGAAGGUGGGGAUGACGUCAGGUCAUCACGGCCCUUACGUCCUGGGCUACACACGUGCUACAAUGGUAGAUACAGAGGGCAGCCAGAUGGUAACAUCGAGCUAAUCCUAAAAGUCUAUCUCAGUUCGGAUCGAGGUCUGCAACCCGACCUCGUGAAGCUGGAUUCGCUAGUAAUCGCGCAUCAGCCAUGGCGCGGUGAAUACGUUCCCGGGCCUUGUACACACCGAGUAUA
rnacentral:rRNA from 1 species